GGGGAUAUAGCUCAGUUGGUAGAGUGCUUGCCUUGCAUGCACAAGGCCCUGGGUUCAAUCCCCAGCACCAUCA
rnacentral:tRNA from 1 species